GACGAACGCUGGCGGCGUGCUUAACACAUGCAAGUCGAACGAAGUGGCGAAAGGGUGAGUAACGCGUAAUCAACCUGCUCUUCAGAGGGGGACAACAGUUGGACACGACUGCUAAUACCGCAUAAGGAAGGAGGGGCUUGCGUGGGAUUAGCUAGUUGGGGGGGUAACGGCCCACCAAGGCGAUGAUCGGAAGGCGGUCUGAGGGGGUGAACGGCCAACAUGGGGAAGAUACACGGCCCAGACUUCUACGGGAGGCAGCAGUGGGGAAUCUUCCGCAAUGGACGAAAGUCUUACGGCGGCACGCCGCGUGAGUGAAAGCGGCCUUCGGGUUGUAAAGCUCUGUUAGUCGGGACACGGUACCGAAAUAGAAAGCCACGGCUAACUACGUGCCAGCAGCCGCGGUAAUUC
rnacentral:rRNA from 1 species